UACAAGGACCCCCAGGUCAUUCUCUGCAAAGCUCCUCUCCAGCAGGUCAUUCCCUAAUCUGUACUGGUGCACAUGGUUAUUCCUCCCCAUAUGCAAGACUCUACAUGUCCUCUUGUUGAACUUCAUCAGGCUCCUCUCUGCCCAGCUCUCCAGCCUGUCCAGGUCUUACUGAAUGGCAGCACAGCCUUCCAGUGUGUCAGACACUCCUCUCAGCUUUGUAUCAUCAGCAAAAUUUCUGAGGGUUCUCAGCAAGUCCAGGUCAUGGAUGAAGAUGUAGAACAAGACCAAGCCCAGCACCAACCCCUUCAGAACACCACUAGUUACAGGCCUCCUACUGGACUCUCUGCCACUGAUCACAACUCUCUGAGCUGUGCCAGUCAGCCAGUUGUCAAUCCACUUCACCAUCCUCUCAUCUGUCCCACACUUUCUAAGCUUCAUUAUGAAGAUACUGUGGGAGACAGUAUCAAAAGCCUUGCUGAAGUCAAGACAGGUACCCGGAACUAAAGCAUUUGCUCUUUAACUCCCAGUACACUGCAUGAUGUUGUGAUGUGGGAUACUGAUAACCAAAAAUCAUAAAACCAUGACAUUAAGCAACAUCCACUGCUCUCCCCUCAC
ensembl:lncRNA